GCGUUGGUCGUGAAAUGUGCAUGAAACAAAUGUCUUAUUUUGUACGUGGUUCGGGGCUCUAAGUAGUAUUGUAAAAUUUCCGAACUCUAGAUUAUUCUAGACACAAUUUUAAUUUUUCAUUUUUUUCAUGUUAUCUAUAUGUUAGGAUCGCGCGAGCAUUGUUCUGAACGAUGCACAUUUUCCGCCCCUUGAAAUCGCGAGGAAACCUGAAAAUUGCUUUCAAAAUCUAGCAAUUUAUCGAUUUUCUUAAAAAAAAUGACGUGGUAACUGGGUUAUAUCGUGGGAACUAUUACUGGUUCACAUUACAGGUUACAUUAGUGGUUUUAAACGAUACACAUUUGCUGCCCCUCAAAAUCCCACGGGAACUGCCUGAAAAUUGAUCUUUAAAGCUGGUAAUUUUUUAUUUUUCUGAAAACACGUGGAAAUUGGGUGAUCUCUCAGCAACCGUUAGCGAGCGUAAAACGACGAAAUUGUUUGGGAACUCCCUGAAAAUUUCUCCCUAAAUCAGUUUACACAAACGCUGUUUGCCGAUCUUAUGGCCAUACCUAUAAUUUAGGAGUUUCUAAUACGGGCUGUAGAAAUUGAAAGGGAACUCGCAGCAGGGUCAUUUUUGCAUCAAGGUGGCUGGUGAAAUUAAACGGGAACUAAAAAGAAGGUCAUUUUUGCAUCAAAUUGGCUAUAGGCAUUGACCGGGAACUCGCAUCAAACUGACUUUUGAACCGAGUCUGACACUGUCGACGGACCAUUCUUGCAUCAGAUUGGAUUUUGCCCUUGAGUCUGACAUCGUAGAAGGACCAUUCUUGCAUCGGAUUUCAUUUUGAAUAGUUUUUGGGGUAUAUAUAAUAUGGAUUGUGUUUUAUUAAUUUUCGUUCAAGUGAGUGAAAUUGAAAUACCAAGAUGAGGUGAUAGCAGGAUAUUCCACACUUUGUUUAUACGUGCGGUUCGACGUUGGCUUGCGCUGCACGCUGUGCGCUGCAAUUUGAAAUUUGAACAGUACCCCACCGGUCGCCGUGUGUCGGCGUGUGCUGUUUUUCCUGUUCAAUCAGUCGGUGAUACGCAAUUGUGCUAUGUGCACGUGUUCCAUUUCUUCUCCGCUACUGUUCGUUGCGACUGUUAGUAUUUCGGACUCGAAACUUAAGACACCACGUGUGCGUGUGUAAGCCAUCAGUCGCCGGUCUUCGGAUCUCUUGCGUUGGGCUACGGAUUCCAAUUGGAUUUAUAGGCCAAUAUGGUAUUGUUAAUUAGAAGGGAUAAAUCACGCGUUUUCUCAGCGUGGCAUAGUUGUUAGUGCAAAAGUUAUGCAGUGAGUAGUAACAUCAAUUCUACUAACAAUUCUGCUUUGUGUGUAACAUUUCAUAAGAGAGCGUUGUGGCUCGAUGGUAUGUAGGAUAUGCCUUGGACCGUACGAACGUUCGUUUU